UCCUUGAUGGUCCAGUGGUUAAGGCUCUGCACUUCCAAUGCAGAGAAGGCACGUUGGAUGCCUGGUCAGGGAA
rnacentral:tRNA from 1 species